rnacentral:rRNA from 1 species
UACGUAGGGUGCAAGCGUUAAUCGGAAUUACUGGGCGUAAAGCGUGCGCAGGCGGUUUUGUAAGUCUGAUGUGAAAUCCCCGGGCUCAACCUGGGAAUGGCGAUGAAGACUGCAAGGCUUGAAUCUGGCAGAGGGGGGUAGAAUUCCACGUGUAGCAAUGAAAUGCGUAGAGAUGUGGAGGAACACCGAUGGCGAAGGCAGCCCCCUGGGUCAAGAUUGACGCUCAUGCACGAAAGCGUGGGGAGCAAACAGG